rnacentral:misc_RNA from 1 species
ACUCGUGAUGAUAAGUAAAAAUGGCUCGAUUUUACGAUGGGAAACUGGUGACCUCUUGGUGACAUCUCUUGGAGGUGGAAUUUAGGCCUCUUCCCUACAAGCUUAUAUAAGAGAUGCUCUGCAUAUGAACUUAUCUUUCACAAGUUCUCCUCUGUUCGAGUAAGUUGAGCAGUAGUGAUUUUUUCAUUCAAACUCUUCUACUUCACCAUUUUCAGCGAAAAACAAAUAUUCCGGAUUUGGCAAGUGACAGAUCUGAGAUCCACUUUUUCACGUGGCGUCCAUUGUCAGCGAUCGUCUCUUCAAGAAGAAAUAUAAUCAUACAUAAAACAUUUUCGGAAAUCGUGGGGUGGCUGUGUUGAUGACUUGGAUUGGUGUGAAGUCCAUUGAAGUAUAUGAGGAAAAGUUCCUAUAGAAUCAAAGACGAAACGAAAGUUGAAGAAUAAUCC